rnacentral:rRNA from 1 species
GAUGAACGCUGGCGGCGUGCCUAAUACAUGCAAGUCGAGCGAAGAGGGGACGGGUGAGUAACACGUGGAUAACCUCCUAUAAGACUGGGAUAACUUAGGGAAACCGGAGCUAAACCGGAUACUUAUGCAUGGUUCCGCGCUGCAUUAGCUAGUUGGUAAGGUAACGGCUUACCAAGGCACCGAUGCAUAGCCGAUCUGAGCGGGUGAUCGGCCACACUGGAACUGGGACACGUUCCAGACUCCAACGGGAGGAAGCAGUGGGGAAUCUUCCGCAAUGGGCGAAAGCCUGAUGGAGCAACGCCGCGUGAUUGAUGAAGUUCUUCGGGUCGUAAAACUCGGUUAUUAGGGAAGCGGUACCUAAGCAGAAAGCCACGGCUAACUACGUGCCAGCCGCCGCGGUAAUAC